CAACCGUUCACUAACUUGAGUUAGUCGGCUCACGAGAAAGACUGCAGAUUCAGACGAAUCGAUGGAAUCACUCCAUUGACUCUCGUAAGAAGAAUGACGAAAAACACACGAGGGACUCGGAAGAUUCAGUUGAAUCGGAUCGCUGACUCCCGAAAAACGCAGCAGGUUCGGGUGAUUCAAUUGAACCAAGCCACUGACUUCAGCGAACGGCUUUGUCGGAAACGCGGCGGACGGUGGAUUCAAGUUAGCGAACUCAACUCGAUUAGCCGUCUUGGACCACAAGAGAUGCGGCCUUCUCUCCAGGCGCUGGCCAAAGAACAGGAACCCUCCAGCAUUGUGCGCGACCACUCAGCCGGCCCCCGUCGGACAAACAGGAAGUGACGGCGGCGCGGAGGAAAAACAGGCUAAAAUUAGGAGCUCCGGGAGAUGCGGAGAGCCCGGCGCAAGGGGGACAACAACAAGGCCGCUCCGGAAAUACCUUCACGCCGAAGCCAGGUUGACCUCGGUGACAUGACGUUUAGCGUCAAGCCAUAAGCGGCCCAAAACCUAUUUUGAAAUCACGCGUGAUGUCAGAAAAUCCCGGCAGACUUCAGCCGUCAGCCGAGAGUAAAGAGGACGACAUCGUCUUCUUUUGCGGCCUCCACCUGAAGAGACACAUGGGGGAAAAGAUAAAGGAAUGAUGAUCAAUCGAUCCAUCGCCACCAAGUCUCUCAGCCAGUUGUCAGCUCACGAUGAGUCAGGAUUAACUAGAACGCCACCUGGUGACCUCCAAUGCGGAAACUUGAAUGGCAACCGGAGUGAAGUAAAGGCUGGGUACGCUCACCUUGCGGGGGGGCUGCCAUCCAUCACCUGCCUGCAUGGGAGCCCCUGCGACACCUCACUCAGCCCCUCCUCGCUCACUUGCCUUCCAAAACCGCCCCUCACGUCACCCCACCAAAAAAAAAAAAAAAAAAAAUCCAACAACAACAACAACAACUGAAGCAAGAUACAGCACAACAAGCUCCAGUCGCGCUUGUCUUCUCGCUCAACAAACAUGAAAAAAUUGGUGAAAAAAAGUUUUUUAUGACAUCCAGAGGUCAAAGUUUUGGUCCAGAAGUCGGCCGGGCUGGGAGAAGAACAAGCAUGAAAAGUGACUCAACUGUCAAGAAGCUGAAUGGCUCAAGUCAAGCGAAAAGGAUUUCUCCGGGGGGACGCUUCCCAUACACAUUUUUACUGUUAACAAAAUAAGAGCUAUCACGACAGCGCUCUUGCUCGGCGUGCCUUCACAACAAUGCAUCAAUCAUAAAGUCCACAGAGAAUGAUUAGACUAGAUUACCCC